rnacentral:rRNA from 1 species
UGGGGAAUUUUGCACAAUGGGCGCAAGCCUGAUGCAGCGACGCCGCGUGAGGGAUGAAGGCCUUCGGGUUGUAAACCUUUUUCGCUCAUGGUCAAGCCGCAGCUUUGGGUUGUGGUGAGGGUAGUGGGUAAAGAAGCGCCGGCUAACUACGUGCCAGCAGCCGCGGUAAUACGUAGGGCGCGAGCGUUGUCCGGAAUUAUUGGGCGUAAAGGGCUUGUAGGCGGUUGGCCGCGUCUGCCGUGAAAUCCUCUGGCUUAACUGGGGGCGUGCGUUGGGUACGGGUUGACUUGAGUGCGGUAGGGGAGACUGGAAUUCCUGGUGUAGCGGUGAAAUGCGCAGAUAUCAGGAGGAACACCGGUGGCGAAGGCGGGUCUCUGGGCCGUUACUGACGCUGAGGAGCGAAAGCGGGGGGAGCGAACAGG